CACUAACUGACGAGUCCCAAAUAGGACGAAACAGCUGUCCAGUGC
rnacentral:hammerhead_ribozyme from 1 species